CCCUUAGAUGUUCUGGGCCGCACGCGUGCUACACUGAGUGGAUCAGCGGGUCAGGUUGCGCGAAAGUGUUUCCUAAUCUUUAAAUCCGCUCGUGAUGGGGAUUGACGGUUGCAAUUUUCCGUCAUGAACGAGGAAUACCUUGUAAGCGCGGGUCAUCAUCCCGCGCUGAAUACGUCCCUGCCCUUUGUACACACCGCCCGUCGCUCCUACCGGUUGAGUGGUCCGGUGAGGCUUUGGGAUCUGAGCGGAAAGAGCGUUUCGCUGUUUCUGCCCGGAAAACUCAGUCGAACCUUAUCAUUUAGAGGAAGGAGAAGUCGUAACA
rnacentral:rRNA from 1 species